CAUUAAGAAGCUAAUCUUAAGCGUUAACCUUUUAAGUUGAAGAAUGGGAGCCCAGACCUCCCCUUAAUGA
rnacentral:tRNA from 1 species